rnacentral:misc_RNA from 1 species
GAUGAAGAACGUAGUGAAAUGCGAUAAGUAAUGUGAAUUGCAGAAUUCAGUGAAUCAUCGAAUCUUUGAACGCACCUUGCACCCUUUGGCAUUCCGAAGGGUAUGCUCGUUUGAGUGUCAUUGUACUCUCACACUUCCGAUCUUUGGAUUGGGAGCGGUGGACUUGGGUGUUGCUGCUUACUGUGGCUCACCUCAAAUCGAUUCGUGCACCUCUUGGUUGGACAUAGUACGGCGUGAUAAGUGUCUUCGCCGGCACCUCAGUAGAGGGUGGCUGAUCGGGAGCUCUGCUUCAAACCGUCCUCGGACAACAACUGACAACUUGACCUCAAAUCGAGUAGGACUACCCGCUGAACUUAAGCAUAUCAAUAAGCGGAGGA